AAGACUAUAGACCUGCGGAGUACCUGCGGAAGGAUCAUUAACAGUGAGCCCUGGUCUUCAUCGGGGACUACACCUCUAACACUUCAAGGAGACCUCUGCUGUCCGUAACUUUUUUACGGCAGCAGGGUGUUGAAUUGAUAGUGUAAUGCAUCCACCCAUUGUGAAACUUAACCUACGCAUUUGCAGCACUCUUAGCUUUAAAACCGCUAGAGGGGUAAGGCUGUCAGAAGCCCACUCAGA
rnacentral:misc_RNA from 1 species